UACGUAGGGGGGCAAGCGUUUGUCCGGAAUUAUUGGGCGUAAAGCGCGCGCAGGCGGUUCUUUAAGUCAGGGGUGAAAGCCCAGAGCUCAACUCUGGAAUUGCCUUUGAAACUAGAGAACUUGGGUACGGGAGAGGUGAGUGGAAUUCCGAGUGUAGAGGUGAAAUUCGUAGAUAUUCGCAAGAACACCAGUGGCGAAGGCGGCUCACUGGCCCGAUACUGACGCUGAGGCACGAAAGCGUGGGGAGCAAACAGG
rnacentral:rRNA from 1 species